rnacentral:lncRNA from 10 species
AAAAAAUUAACUGGGUGUGGCGGCGUGCGCCUGUAGUCCCAGCUAUAUUUGGGAGGCUGAGGCAGGAGAAUGGCGUGAACCCAGGAGGCAGAGCUUGCAGUGAGCCGGGACGGCGCCACUGCACUCCAGCCUGGGUGACAGAGCGAGAUUCCGUCUCAAAAAAUAAAAUAAAAUAAAAUAAAAUAAAAAUAAAUGAAUAAAAUAAAAAAGAAAGGGAGUGAGGGAGAGAAGAAAGGAGGCAGGAAGAAGGAAAGAGGGAGAGAGGAGAAACCACAAAAUACAUUUUGGGGACAAUUGGAGAAAUUUGGGUAUGAACUGGGUGUUAGAUGACAUACAGGAAUUAUUGUUAAUUUUGUUAGAUGGGAUAAUGAUAUUACAUGUAUGUAAGACAAUAGCUUUAUUCUAAGGAGAUGCAUGCUGGAAUAUUUAGGGGAAAAGUGUCAAGCAUCUAUAAUUUACUUUGUAAUGGUUUGGCUAAAAAAUA